UGUAUGUUACAGUGAUAUAGUGUAUGUUAAAGUGAUAUAGUUUAUGCUAAAGUGAUAUAGUGUAUGCUAAAGUGAUAUAGCACAACAAGAAUCCGUCUUUUUGGCGUCUGCAUUUACCGUCCGACGACAAAAGCGGACGCUACAUUCGAAAUUUACCGUCUGUUUACAGCAAGACGUAAAUUAGCAUCCGCCUUAGCGUCCGUCUUUAAAUCGGACGCUAACUUACGUCCGUGUUUGUGCUUACCGUCUGUUUUACGGACGUUAAAAGUGGAACUUUUUUUAAAAAAAAAUGUCCAAAAUUUACCGUCGCCCCCUUUUAUUUACCGUCUGAUGUCGGACGGUAAAAUCUUUACCAUUACACAACCACUCCAGAAUUUCAGAUCUGCUCUAUCUUUCCUCUUCUCUCUAAUUCGACCACUCUAAAACCCUCGUCUCAUUCUAUCGUCCCGAAGGCGCCGCCCAUCUCCGGCGCCGCCACUCACCGCUUCGUCUCUCUCACUGUCGCCCAUAGAAGCGCUGCCGCCGCCCAGCUCUCACUCUCACUCUCAUUCGAAGCCCUUAACCAGGUAAUCAUGUUGAUAUAUCCUCUCUUUUUUUCGAUUUUUAUUUUCGUAUGUUUUUUUCGUUUUCUCGAUUUUUAUUUAUCCUCUCUUUUUCGAUUUUUGUUUCAGAUCUGGUUUUUUCUUGAUUUUUUUGUCAGUUUUUGUCCUAAUUAUUUCGUAACAAUAAGGUUUUGGUGGUUGUUGUGGAAAUUCAGGUAUGGAGGUUUGCUUGGAUCUUUGCAAUCAAAUGCUUAUCCUUCUUUCGAGAUUGUAAGUCUCUCUCCAAAUCUAGAUCUAUCAACUAAUCUCCCAAAUACAAUUCAAUAACUGUCAUAUUCCAUUGAAUUUAUUCAAAGAUUUAUGGUGAUGAAUUCAUCUUUCUCGUCUGGAUUGUUUUAUGCUAUUAUCGUUUUUCGAUUUUACGAUCGAAUGUUAAUUGUUCUAGCUCGAAUUUUGGUACUUUGUUGUUGCUGAUAUUGAUUCUGCAUUUCGCGGAUUUUUGUGCUUAGGAUUGUUAUACUGUAGUUAAGCAAACCUUGGGUAGUUUUUAUGCUUUCUAAUGCUUGAAUGUGGUCGAUCAUUCUGCUGCUCAGUAGAUCGGUCAAGUGAUUCAGACAAGAGUAUAUUGCAGAAACACAGAAUUAGGUUCAGGUGAUUAGGUGUCAUUCAAUUUGCUUCAAUCCUUCGAAAAGAAAGUGGGUUAUAGUUGAUUUCGCUCAACUUCACGGGUCUAUAUCGCUUGAAAUUCUUGUGCUUUCCUUCGGUUUCAUGCUUAUGUUUUAUCAUUAGCUGGACGUAUUUUUGUAUUCAUCUUGUGAUUGAGCUCAUUGAUUGGUCCGUGAAUGUGCUACAAUUUGGUGAUACUUCAGCUUCUAUAUGCCCGUCAUUAAUGGUAUGUUUGCGAGUUUGGGAUGUAGGGGCCAUCGAAGAAUUGUCUGGUUUCGUCAGAAGAUAGUUGUUGUUUGGCGUUGCAAAUGUUAUUCCUCUAGAUGUUCGAGAAUAAGACUGAACUUUAGUGGAAACAUACUUGCGCAUCAUCUCUUGUCAUUUGGAUAGUCGCGUUUUUGUCUGUUGUCUUUUGCAGAUUUGAGAAGGGGAGUUGUGCUGUAUGUUCUUGUUUCCUCUUGUUUAGGUAAGUGUUUAUCAUCUAUUUACGGACAUGUUCUCUUCCAUGUAGUGGUCUUGAGUUAUUAGGUUUUGUACUUCUAGCAUUGUGCGUUCAAUUCCUGUGUUUUUUUUUCUCUUGAUAUUGGCCUGAGGUAUUUGACAUUCGCUUCACACCAUUAUUGUCGCACUUCUGUUACAGAAACCUGGAAUGAACCCUAUUGAUUUUUAUCUACUAUAUUCAUAUGCAGAAACACAAAGUAUCUUCUAGUCUGUGUAGUGUGUUCCCUUCAUGAUGCAUAUUGCAACUGUGACAUUGUUACUUUGUUAAGUUCUUUCUGUUUUAAGAAACCCUUUUUUUGUUAUGAUCAUGAGAUGAGAGUACAAUCCUGGGUAAAGAAUUAGUUUCUGUGUAGAGGGUAAAGUUCGGCAAAGGAUAUCCUGAAGGUUUUCAGAAUAAAGACUUGAUGAAGUUUCUCUAUACACUUUCUGUUGGACAUUUUGGAAAUAAAGCUACAAAUACCUCUGGGCAGUAGUCAUAAUAAUGUUUGUAGUCUCAGUUGGCUGAAAGAAAACUGACAAGUAAUAUUAAUAAGUUACUGAUCUUUAACUGUAUUACCAUCUAGUAUCUUUUAGUUGUUUGUAUAAUGUGUAACACUGUAAUGUUGAUCAAGUGCUCAAGUUUGAACAGGAUGUUAAAGUUUCUUGACAUCUACAUGUUUUGACUCUUUAGAAGCAAACUUUACGGAAUAUUUACAUCUUUUAAAAAUAGGAAAGAACUGUGUGUUGUGCUCAUCUCACAGGUGGUUGUAGUUGAUCCAGAGGCGUAUGCUUAUGAUGACGAGGUUAUUAAGAAAGCUGAAGCUAUGGGAAAGCCAGGGCUAAGCUGAAGCUAUGGGAAAGCCAGGGCUUGUAGAGAUCUACCGGAAGGAGGAUAGUUUUAUCUUCACAGUUGAGUUCCAAAUUUGAAGUUGGUUUCGAUCCAGAUACCAGAUUUGAAGUCCGUUUUGGUUCUAGAUUUUUGUCGUGGAGUUUAAAGUGUACAUGUAAUUAUAUGAGAUUUGUAUUAGAUUUUGUUCUAAGUAUACUAGAAUUUAGUUCUAGAAUUAUUUUUUCACUUGUAUCUACAUUUAUUAUCAAUAAUAAUUGAAUUGAUUAACAAAAGAA